AUUGAACGCUGGCGGCAGGCCUAACACAUGCAAGUCGAACGAGUGGCGGACGGGUGAGUAAUGUCUGGGACACUGCGUGAUGGAGGGGGAUAACUACUGGACACGGUAGCUAAUACCGCAUACCAUCGGAUGUGCCCAGAUGGGUUGCGCUAUGAGGUGGGGGAAAGGACCACCUAGGCGACGAUCCCUAGGCGGUCUGAGAGGAUGACCAGCCACAUUGGAACUGAGACACGGCCCAGACUCCUACGGGAGGCAGCAGUGGGGAAUAUUGCACAAUGGGCGCAAGCCUGAUGCAGCCAGGCCGCGUGUAUGAAGAAGGCCUUCGGGUUGUAAAGUACUUUCAGCGGGGAGGCGUUACCCGCAGAAGAAGCACCGGCUAACUUCGUGCCAGCAGCCGCGGUAAUAC
rnacentral:rRNA from 1 species